rnacentral:rRNA from 1 species
GACGUAGGGCGCGAGCGUUUGUCCGGAUUUAUUGGGCGUAAAGAGCUCGUAGGCGGCUUGUCGCGUCGUCCGUGAAAACCUGCGGCUCAACUGCAGGCUGGCGGUCGAUACGGGCAGGCUGGAGUUCGGUAGGGGAGACUGGAAUUCCUGGUGUAGCGGUGAAAUGCGCAGAUAUCAGGAGGAACACCGAUGGCGAAGGCAGGUCUCUGGGCCACUACUGACGCUGAGAAGCGAAAGCAUGGGGAGCGAACAGG